AUUGAACGCUGGCGGCAUGCCUUACACAUGCAAGUCGAACGGCAGCGGGGGAGAAGCUUGCUUUUCCUGCCGGCGAGUGGCGAACGGGUGAGUAAUACAUCGGAACGUGCCCUGUAGUGGGGGAUAACUAGUCGGAAGAUUAGCUAAUACCGCAUACGACCUGAGGGUGAAAGUGGGGGACCGCAAGGCCUCAUGCUAUAGGAGCGGCCGAUGUCUGAUUAGCUAGUUGGUGGGGUAAAGGCCUACCAAGGCGACGAUCAGUAGCUGGUCUGGGAGGACGAGCAGCCACACUGGGACCGAGACACGGCCCAGACUCCUCCGGGAGGCAGAAGUGGGGAAUUUUGGACAAUGGGCGAAAGCCUGAUCCAGCAAUGCCGCGUGUGUGAAGAAGGCCUUCGGGUUGUAAAGCACUUUUGUCCGGAAAGAAAUGGCUCUGGUUAAUACCUGGGGUCGAUGACGGUACCGGAAGAAUAAGGACCGGCUAACUACGUGCCAGCAGCCGCCGUAA
rnacentral:rRNA from 1 species